rnacentral:rRNA from 1 species
UACGUAGGGUGCAAGCGUUAAUCGGAAUUACUGGGCGUAAAGCGUGCGCAGGCGGUUUUGUAAGUCUGUCGUGAAAUCCCCGGGCUCAACCUGGGAAUUGCGAUGGAGACUGCAAGGCUGAGAAUCUGGCAGAGGGGGGUAGAAUUCCACGUGUGAGCAGUGAAAUGCGUAGAGAGUGUGGAGGAACACCGAUGGCGAAGGCAGCCCCCUGGGUCAAG